rnacentral:rRNA from 1 species
CGUAGACAGGUGCUGCAUGGCUGUCGUCAGCUCGUGUCGUGAGAUGUUCGGGUUAAGUCCCGCAACGAGCGCAACCCUUGCCUUUAGUUGCCAGCAGUUCGGCUGGGCACUCUAAAGGGACUGCCGGUGUUAAACCGGAGGAAGGUGGGGAUGACGUCAAGUCCUCAUGGCCUUUAUGACCAGGGCUACACACGUACUACAAUGGCCGAUACAAAGGGCAGCGACACUGCGAGGUGAAGCCAAUCCCGUAAAAUCGGUCUCAGUCCGGAUUGGAGUCUGCAACUCGACUCCAUGAAGUUGGAAUCGCUAGUAAUCGUGGAUCAGCAUGCCACGGUGAAUACGUUCCCGGGCCUU